rnacentral:rRNA from 1 species
ACACAAAAAUGCACAUACUGUGAGCUCGAUGAGUAGGGCGGGACACGUGGUAUCCUGUCUGAAUAUGGGGGGACCAUCCUCCAAGGCUAAAUACUCCUGACUGACCGAUAGUGAACCAGUACCGUGAGGGAAAGGCGAAAAGAACCCCGGCGAGGGGAGUGAAAAAGAACCUGAAACCGUGUACGUACAAGCAGUGGGAGCACAGAGCAAUCUGUGUGACUGCGUACCUUUUGUAUAAUGGGUCAGCGACUUAUAUUCUGUAGCAAGGUUAACCGAAUAGGGGAGCCGAAGGGAAACCGAGUCUUAACUGGGCGUUAAGUUGCAGGGUAUAGACCCGAAACCCGGUGAUCUAGCCAUGGGCAGGUUGAAGGUUGGGUAACACUAACUGGAGGACCGAACCGACUAAUGUUGAAAAAUUAGCGGAUGACUUGUGGCUGGGGGUGAAAGGCCAAUCAAACCGGGAGAUAGCUGGUUCUCCCCGAAAGCUAUUUAGGUAGCGCCUCGUGAAUUCAUCUCCGGGGGUAGAGCACUGUUUCGGCAAGGGGGUCAUCCCGACUUACCAACCCGAUGCAAACUGCGAAUACCGGAGAAUGUUAUCACGGGAGACACACGGCGGGUGCUAACGUCCGUCGUGAAGAGGGAAACAACCCAGACCGCCAGCUAAGGUCCCAAAGUCAUGGUUAAGUGGGAAACGAUGUGGGAAGGCCCAGACAGCCAGGAUGUUGGCUUAGAAGCAGCCAUCAUUUAAAGAAAGCGUAAUAGCUCACUGGUCGAGUCGGCCUGCGCGGAAGAUGUAACGGGGCUAAACCAUGCAC